AGCACGAAAAAGCUUGCUUUUUGGUGGCGACCGGCGCACGGGUGCGUAACGCGUAUGCAACCUACCUUACACUGAGGAAUAGCCCGAAGAAAUUCGGAUUAAUGCCUCAUAGUAUUGUCACUUCGCAUGUUGAGACAAUUAAAGAUUACGGUGUAAGAUGGGCAUGCGUCCUAUUAGCUAGAUGGUAAGGUAACGGCUUACCAUGGCUACGAUAGGUAGGGGGCCCUGAGAGGGUGAUCCCCCACACUGGUACUGAGACACGGACCAGACUCC
rnacentral:rRNA from 1 species